AUUGAACGCUGGCGGCAGGCCUAACACAUGCAAGUCGAGCGCGCGGCGGACGGGGGAGUAAUGUCUGGGAAACUGUCCGAAGGAGGGGGAUAACUACUGGAAACGGUAGCGAAUACCGCACACCCUCAGAUGUGCGCCGAUGGGAUUAGAUAGUGGGUGGGGUAAUGGCUCACCUAGGCGACGAUCCCUAGCUGGUCUGAGAGGAUGACCAGCCACACUGGGACUGAGACACGGUCCAGACUCCUACGGGAGGCAGCAGUGGGGAAUAUUGCACAAUGGGCGCAAGCCUGAUGCAGCCAUGCCGCGUGUGUGAAGAAGGCCUUCGGGUUGUAAAGCACUUUUAGCGGGGAGGCGUUACCCGCAGAAGAAGCACCGGCUAACUCCGUGCCAGCAGCCGCGGUAAUUC
rnacentral:rRNA from 1 species